rnacentral:misc_RNA from 1 species
UGUUCUUGGUCACGAACUGUACGUAGCGGUUAAUUAAACGGACGGUUAAUUAACAUAACAGAUGGUGAAGUAAAAAGAAAAUAAAGAAAAAAACUGUAAUAGUAAGAAUAUUAAUUAGUUUUUAAAAAAUUGUAGUUUUCCAUAUAAAACGUAUGCAGAAAUGUAGCUUUUUGUAAAGAAUAGCGAUUUCGAAAAAAAAAAUUUAAGCAAUCUACACCAAUGAGAGAUUUCAUAGUGAUUUUUAAAUGGAGUGAAUUUUUGACGCUCCCAUUACGGUGGUGUGGUGCUGUAAAAGUAGAGCGAUUUAUCGAGAUCUACCCACUUUUAGUUUGCAGGAAUAGUUGGCCAACAGAAAGCAACAACAAAACCGUUGGAUAUAACGUUAUAUGUGCUUAUGGAGUGUGCAUUGAAGUGUUUGUGUCUCAAAGUUUGCAUCUCUUUGUUUAUAGUGUGCAUCUAACUCACCUAACGUUGCAAAAAAGGUGGCUUAAUAUGUAAGAAAAUCAAAAGAAAAGGUAAAUAUAGAGCAAGUAAAAUCAUUGUCGUUUGUGAUCAAGUUUUUCUGCCUGUCUGUUUUUAAGUCUGUGGUAACUGUGGUGCAGUUAAUAUAGCUUUUUGCAUUAAAAUUUGGAAAAAUUAUAAAAUUAAGAAAUCUCAACAAAGUAUAAUAUAUCAACGAAACAAUAUUAAGUGCGCAAAUCUGUAGCAAGUUGAAGUUGCUGAAAUCGAUGCCGAAAAAUGUGAAUAGUGGAAAAAAAAGAAAAAAGUAAAAAUUAUAAUAUUUGUAAAAGCAGAAUAAAAAAGUGAGUGUAAGACCUUAAUGAGAGUAUAAAUUCAACAUAAAUUUUGUGAACUUAAAAUAUAAAAAGUAUUCAUAACACCUGUUUCAAUCUGUUUUAAUGCAAAUUUGUGCUAGUUUCUUACUUCUAUUAAAAACGAAACUCACGUAAAUAUCGUUCGUUGUUUAAUUUAAGCGCAUUUUCUUUUUAUGCAUAACUUCAAGAUAAUCAAGUGUGGUUAAUUGGAAAUAAUUGCGUUCAUUAUACAUACAUACUAGACACUGAGAAGUGGUUAGAAUUGUUUACUUUUGAUCUAAAUAACUUUUAGAAUGUGCGAAUACCGGCGCCAUUGAAUAAUUAUUACUUGUAGCUGUUCAAUUCAAUUAGCAUUCUUGACAGGUAUAAAUUCGGAUUAAAAUUAAUGAUCACUUCAAAAAUCCACACUUAGUUUUCUUCCUGCGAACAACGCUUUGGUGCAUGGAAAAAACGUUCUGGCAGU